GGAGUCGGACAGGCUAUCGUCGCGGGCCGUAUGGCCCGGGGAGGAAAGUCCGGGCUUCACAGGGCAGGACGCUGGAUAACGUCCAGCGGGAGCGAUCCCGGGAGAGCGCAACAGAAAACAAACCGCCCGCGCCCCUCAAGCGCAGGUAAGGGUGAAACGGUGGGGUAAGAGCCCACCAGUUGCCGUGGCGACACGGCAAGCUCGGCAUGCCCCGUUCGAAGCAAGACCAAAUAGGAGGGCGUUAAGGCUGGCCCGGCCGUGCCCUCGGGUAGGUUGCUUGAGGCCGCAGGCAACUGCGGUCCUAGAGGAAUGAUGGCCGCCCCGGAACUUCCGGGGAACAAAACCCGGCUUAUCGGCCGACUCCCCUU
rfam:Desulfovibrio sp. DV contig00035, whole genome shotgun sequence.